UUAGGAGCACAAACAGACAGAAGCAUAGCCUUCUCUGUUAAAUUCACCCAGUAGCUGCUUUGGCCUGGUUUGUUGUUUAUAGUGUUUGAAUACACUUUUACAUUAUAUGACACUAGUAAGGGAUUGGAAUCCAAGGGAGAGAAAACCAGAGGGAAAACUAGAUAAAUAAAUGAACAAGUUUAAUCCACUCAGGUGUUUCUCGUGGGGAAAUGGAGGGAGGGUACUUACUAACUACUGAGCUGUUUAAUUAGGUGCCUUGCUGCUUGUUAAUGAGGGUACUAACGAGGGCACUGUGGCCGUGGACUGCGGCUGCCCCGCUGAUCAUUAAUGGGAGGCAGUGUGUGUGUCACAAAUACAAGCCUGACCCUGACAACAACAUGAGCGACGCAGAGGCAGCAGGGGGCCAGGGCACACUCUCUGCAGGGACAGGACUGAUUCACACGGUGCUGGAAGGGGGUGAAGCCAAAAGCCAGUGUUAAUUGAAGCCUAGCAGAAAAGGGAGCGAAACCAAGGCCGUUUAUCUACCAGUCAGUGCAGAGAGGACAGCUUUGAGUAUGAAAAAGAGGAACGGAAAGAGAAAAAAAGCAUCCCAUUUCAUCUCUGCAGGAACAUGACGGAGGAAUAAAAGCUAUACUAAAGUUCAAUGGUGCCUGUGAGUUUCUCUUCCUCCCGCAAUUUGUCACAAGCUGAGAGGUCCAUCCGAUUGGUGCACUCAGUUGUCCGGAUGAGUGCCUGAGGAGUUCGGUCAGGCGCACAGAUACGAUUCAGCAACAUGGUUCAGCAGCUCGCCAUGUGCCAUGCAGCUGGAAGUUUGAAAACAGCAGGCCACAGUCCCUGAGAGUAUUUGGAUGGAGUCGAG